rnacentral:ribozyme from 1 species
UUUUUUUUUUUUUUUUUUUUUUUUUUUUUUUUUUUUUUUUUUUUCCAA